UAUCUGUUGCAGCCUUCUUUUUGUUUUUAAGGAACAUCAAAGUUUUUAUCAUAAUUACAUUUGUUAUCUCAAAAGUGUUCAAUUAUAGCAUAAAUACUAUUAUUUUUGUAAUGCUAAAAAAAAUGUAAUGGCUUCGUUUGAAUUUGGAAGCAGUUCCCUUUUGGAUGGUCCCUCUGUACAUGGCCACAUACUCCGCCAAACGUUGUACCUUGCCCCCCCUCAGAGAACCAAGGUUAGAUUGUCCCCGCCCUCAGAGAACCAAGGUUAGAUUGUCCCCUCCCCCAUCAGAGAACCAAGGUUAGAUUGUCCCCUCCCCCAUCAGAGAACCAAGGUUAGAUUGUCCCCUUCCCCCCUCAGAGAACCAAGGUUAGAUUGUCGCCCCCCCCCCCUCAGAGAACCAAGGUUAAGUUGUCCCCUCCCCCCUCAGAGAACCAAGGUUAGAUUGUCCCCUCCCCCCUCAGAGAACCAAGGUUAAGUUGUCCCCCACCUCAGAGAACCAAGGUUAAGUUGUCCCCCACCUCAGAGAACCAAGGUUAAGUUGUCCCCCACCUCAGAGAACCAAGGUUAGGUUCACCCAUAAUGGUAUUACUAAUUCACAGAACCAUUUUAUUUAUUUAAAAUGUGUCUUUAUUUAUUUAGGUAAUAAAAUAACAUUUGUUAAUAUUUAUAUUUUAAAAUUUUACAAUAUGUGAGUGAGUGUGUUUUCAGCCUGGUUGUGUAAAAUACUGUUGCAUAUACAGUAUUUUAGGCAUCCUUUUAUUGUUAUGACUGUACAAUUGGUUUACUACCAAAGGCUAUGAUUUCAAGGUUGCCUGCGCACACACACACACACAAACACACACAUUCACACAUGCUUCAAUUUCUAUCAAAGUGAGGACCGCAUUUUGUACCAAUCAUUAACCUAACUUUUAUGCCCUAACUUACCAAACCCUCACUCCUAAACCUCAUGUUAAAGCCUAAAUGUAACCUUAGUGCUAAGGCAAAUUCUAACCCUAAACUUAAACAUAAACCUAAAAGACAGCCAUGGUGCUCACUUUUCCAAACUGUCCCUCACAUUGUAGUUAUUCCAGUACCUGCAUACACACACACAAAAAAUACUUUGUAAGGACCAAAAAUGUGGUCUGCACAAAUAUAAAGAUAGAAGUAUAAAACCACACACACAAUGUGGAAACAGACACAGAUCUUCCAACUGGCAGCAGACACACACUGACUCCUUAGAUUGUAUGCCAGGGCCUGGGUAAUAUCAUUUCUCUCCAAUUCUCUUACAGUAAAAGAAAUGUCAGGGCCGCUCUUCAAACAGCCCUCUGUUGACUCUGUAGACUGACAUCCUCUCACACUGCUGAGGCCCCUUAUGCUGCCUGGCUCCCAAAAUGAGACCCUACUGUCUCCGUGGUGCACUACUUCUGACCGGG
ensembl:lncRNA